UGAGGAUUUUUCUUGCAGGUGCGCGACCCCGGCGAUCGAACGAUGGAGGGAUUGGCCGCAACAGAUUUGACGCACCAGGCAGGGGAUUAUUCGACAGAGGUAAGACAACGAGCUCCACAGAGCUUGAAAAAAUCUCUCGAGAUGACGAAAAUCAGGACUCAGCGAUCAAGAGCUACCAGAUCAACGAGGCACUCUUCCCGUCGGGAAGAGGCCCCUCCACCUUCCAUGGUGGAAUCCAGCUCUCCGCACCCGGUAGUAACCACGGAGGUGCAGAUCACGGCAAUCGUGCGGUAAAUGACCGUUCUGACGGACGCG
rnacentral:lncRNA from 1 species